rnacentral:rRNA from 1 species
UACGUAGGCAGCGAGCGUUGUUCGGAGUUACUGGGCGUAAAGGGUGUGUAGGCGGUUGUUUAAGUUUGGUGUGAAAUCUCCCGGCUCAACUGGGAGGGUGCGCCGAAUACUGAAUGACUAGAGUGCGGGAGAGGUGAGUGGAAUUCCUGGUGUAGCGGUGAAAUGCGUAGAUAUCGAGAGGAACACCUGCGGCGAAGGCGGGUUGCUGGGCUGACACUGACGCUGAUGCGCGAAAGCCAGGGGAGCGAACGGG